rnacentral:rRNA from 1 species
AGUGUAGGCGGCUAUUUAAGUCGGAUGUGAAAGCCCCGGGCUCAACCUGGGAAUUGCAUUCGAAACUGAAUAGCUAGAGUUUGGUAGAGGUAAGUGGAAUUCCGGGUGUAGCGGUGAAAUGCGUAGAUAUCCGGAGGAACAUCAGUGGCGAAGGCGGCUUACUGGACCAAAACUGACGCUGAGGCUCGAAAGCGUGGGGAGCAAACAGGAUUAGAUACCCCUGGUAGUCC